UAUAAUAAUAGAACAAUAACAAAGGAACUAAAUUUUGUUGAAUUUAAUAAAGCUUUAGCUAAAAGUUUUAAUAACAGCUUUCCACCGUCCGCCAUUGUUUGUGGCGUCCUGACGCUAGAUUUGGCUUCAAAAUGCCGUUCCCUAAAGAAAAUAACAAUAGACUUAUUGUUUCGUAUAGUUUGAUCUAUGGAGUGAUCAGUGAUAAUGUUGAGAGAUCAAGGAAAUGAGGACCCUAAAAAUCAAGAGCCUUAUAAGACGCGAGGGUCCAUUGACAUCGUCGCUCUUAAAAAUCAACUCUCUCCUGAAGAGUUUUUCAUUGCUAGCUUAUUGACCAACAUUCCAACUGAAAGUGUAUCUACAGUUGACGAUCUCAAUAGCAAUAAGGUUGGUGUUGAACAAGAAGAAUGUCUAGCAGCUAACACCUCACACUUAACAGGGAAAAGGCUGGAUUUGUCUAAUAGGACAAUGAAAACCAAACUUAAAAGAAAUUAGAAAAAUAGAAGAAGAAGAAAUUAAAAAAGAAAAAUAACAAGAAGUGGUCCUGAAUUGCUAAACUUGCACAAGCCACCGAGGCAGCAUCAGUGUCAUCAACCUCUGAUCCGACAGAGUUUGUCAAAACAGGUAUUCCUGAACCAAGACCAACAAGUACACUGCUAACACAAAUUUUCAACAGUGAAGGCUGCCUAGUAUUCAGCUAAUUUGAUUUAGGAGAACUAUCUUAUCCCUCACCCAUUCUGAACAAGACCACUUUAGAUUCAAAAGUGGCAACGAUAAAAAAAAAACUCAAAGCCAAAGUGAAAAUCUUGGAUGGCCAAACUGAAGUUGAAUGCGAGAAGUAUUGAAGAGAAACAGGCGUGAAAAGGUGCUCUGCAAAGAGCUGAAGGUUUUCAGGUAAAAAAACCAUGUGGAAUUGCUUGCUAAAUCUAUUAAGAAACAAGAUGAAAUCAAAUCAAAUUGUAAAAGAAGUGGGCUGAACGCAUCGAAGAAUAGGAAAAGAGAAAGGAAUAACAAGAGAAAACGAGAAAAGCAAACAUUAAGAAAAAGAAAACUGAAAAGAAAGAACAUAAACCGAAUGAACACCUCACACUUAACAGGGAAAAAGCUGGAAUUGUCUGAUAGGACAACGAAAAUCAAACUUAAACGGAAGUUAGAGGGAAUGAACAAGAAAUUAAAAAGGAAAAGUAAGAAGAAAAGGUCCUG